UCAGGUGUGGAAUUUAGAUAGAGUGGGUGUGUGCUCUUGUUUAAUUACACCAAGAUCACCACCCUCUAUCCAUAUCCCACAAUUGA
rfam:Human herpesvirus 4 complete wild type genome